rnacentral:rRNA from 1 species
UCAAACUGGAGAGUUUGAUCCUGGCUCAGAGCGAACGUUUGCGGCGGGCCUAACACAUGCAAGUCGAACGGGCUAGCAAUAGUCAGUGGCGCACGGGUGCGUAACACGUAGGUAAUCAACCCCUCGGUU